UACGUAGGGUGCGAGCGUUAAUCGGAAUUACUGGGCGUAAAGCGUGCGCAGGCGGCGCGUUAAGACAGGUGUGAAAGCCCCGAGCUUAACUUGGGAAUUGCGCUUGUGACUGGCGUGCUGGAGUGUGGCAGAGGGAGGUGGAAUUCCACGUGUAGCAGUGAAAUGCGUAGAGAUGUGGAGGAACACCGGUGGCGAAGGCGGUGGUCUGGGCCGGCACUGACGCUGGAGGAGCGAAAGCGUGGGGAGCGAACAGG
rnacentral:rRNA from 1 species